GGAGGGGUAGCGAAGUGGCUAAACGCGGCGGACUGUAAAUCCGCUCCCUCAGGGUUCGGCAGUUCGAAUCUGCCCCCCCUCCACCA
rnacentral:tRNA from 1 species